rnacentral:pre_miRNA from 1 species
AAAGAGGGUUUGGUUGAGAACUGACAGAAGAGAGUGAGUACACGCAGGCAAUUGUAUAGUGGACUAUACUCUUGUUUGAGUUAUGCGUGUGCUCACUUCUCUUCCGUCAGCCCUUGCUCUUUUUUUUCUC